rnacentral:rRNA from 1 species
GAUGAACGCUGGCGGCGUGCCUAAUACAUGCAAGUCGAGCGGUAAGGCCCCUUCGGGGGUACACGAGCGGCGGACGGCUGAGUAACACGUAGGAACGUACCCCAAAGUGAGGGAUAAGCACCAGAAAUGGUGUCUAAUACCGCAUGUGAUCUUCGGAUUAAAGCUUCGGCGCUUUGGGAACGGCCUGCGUCCGAUUAGCUAGUUGGUAGUGUAAAAGACUACCAAGGCGACGAUCGGUAGCUGGUCUGAGAGGAUGAUCAGCCAGACUGGGACUGAGACACGGCCCAGACUCCUACGGGAGGCAGCAGUAGGGAAUUUUCCACAAUGGGCGAAAGCCUGAUGGAGCAACGCCGCGUGCAGGAUGAAUGCCUUCGGGUUGUAAACUGCUUUUAUGUGUGACGAUUAUGACGGUAACACAUGAAUAAGGACCUGCUAACUACGUGCCAGCCGCCGCGGUAA